GUGUUGGGGAGGAGGGCCCGAGCUCGGCCCUUGCUUGACCCCCGACCGAUUGCCACUGACACCGACCAAGAUCCACGUGCGUCUCUACCUCAGCCGAGGAUGGCCGAGUGCCCAGCGGACCCCAGGUGUGACCCUCGCUGAUGCCCGGGAGGAUUCCGCCGGCAGACGGAGAGGAACUAGUGUCUGCAGGGAGGACAGUUUCCCCCGAAGUUGCCAGGUAAGUUAUCAACUGGUCCCCAUCUCAUGCAGCAAUAUAUGUAUGCAAGCAGUGUGACUUGCUGGGUAAAGCACCAUCCUGGGAGUCAGAAGGACCUGGGUUCUGAUCCCAGC